AAUUCCUUGUCACUUAGUGACACUGAAAUAUUGCCAUGCUUCUACUGCAAGAAACAGAUGCAUAUAACUUUUCCAGAGAGUUAGUUUUUUUUUCUUCUGAUCAGAAGUUGAAUGAAUUUUGGUGUAUACUCAAAAUUAUAAGUUGAUAUUCUAAAUUUUCAUGAGCUGUUUGUCUUUUUGUAUUAUGUUCAAUCAUGCUAUGAUCAAUCCCACCAGGUGGUGGUUGAGUCUAGACAACGUUCAGUAUUUUUUACAAUGUUGUCAGACUUGGAGAUGGGCUCAAGAGUUGUUAGUUGCAAGCAAAGUAGGCUAAUAAAUAGUUGUUACAAGUUGAUUAAAAAGUAGUUGUUAGUUGAUUAAAUGGCAAAAUGUGAUUCUAGCAUCUAUGUCAUAAUAAUAGUCAAAGUAUGCCGUGAUGUGAGGGGAUAUUAUGAAUUUCCGCUCUAUUAACUUCUCACACCGUCUCUAAAGCCAGCAUGAUACAAUCAAAAUAUAUAAGAUAUAUUAUAGGCAAGCCUUUAUUACCCGUUUCUCUAUAUCCAAGGGAUGAUUAUUCUUGGAACCUUUUACCUGCUGAAACUCUUACCUCCUAGAUGUCUAGGAGUAGGAGUACAUUUGUAUUGAUUUUGAUGCUCUCUUUUUUGUUACUUGGUUCAAGAUUACAAUAAAUAUAAAUAUAAUAAACUAUGAAGGUGAUUUUACUAUAUUGUUAUCUCCCUUCUGAAAUGGUAAUCAUGUUUUUUACAUAUUGCUCAAGUAGGUGGUUCUUCUGUACUAGUCGACACUGUGACUUACAAAGAUGUUCGUGAACCGAAUUUUUUGGGUUUACAUAUUUUGAGAGUGUAUGUAUGAAUGAUAUCACUGAUUGUAAUUUAGUUGUGUGCAUGUUCUUUGUCAGGAGCCAGGAAACUUUGUCAUCACCUUCCCCAGAUCAUAUCAUGGAGGUUUCAACUGUGGUAAGCUAAAGUGUUGCUAAAUGUCUAUGAUGAUAAUUAAGAGAAUUGAUAUUAUGCUAUGACCCCCAAUCUUUUGGAUGUCAGUUUGGGUCUUUGACCUUUUUACUUUGCAGGCUUAAAUUGUGCAGAAGCAGUCAACUUUGCUCCUGCUGAUUGGCUACCUCAUGGAGGUUCCGGUGCGGAUCUUUAUAAACUUUAUCGUAAAUCUCCUGUUUUAUCUCACGAGGAGCUUAUCUGUGUUGUGGCCAAGGUCUUUCCUCACUUUUUAUGUUUUCUUUUUAGUUUAUAGAGAUAAUUGUGAGACCUUCACUUCUCAUUUUCUUGAAAAUUCCAUAUUUUAGUCAUUUUAUAACAAAUGAUGAGUGUUUACUGCAAGAAUUACUAUAGAGUAGUAAGAAAUGAUUUAUACUUUGUGCCUUUGAAAUUUGGCUGCCUUGUUUAGAUAAUUAUGGUUGGAUCAUAGACUUUAGUUACCAGGACCAGUGCUUCUUUUGUACAAGGCUUAGUAGUAUCUGUGUCUAACUGAAAAAACCCGAUUGAAAUCAGAGUAGAAGACUUUCUAAUAUCAGACAAGUAUACAACCAAGAGACCUAGCCAUCUCCUGAAAGAAUGGAGGCCCAAUAUAUAAUUCUGUGGUUAAUGCAUCUGUUUGACCAAUUUUAUCUUGCUUGCAGACUGAAUUUGAUAGCAAAGUAACACCUUACCUAAUGAAGGAAUUGCUCCGUAUUUACAACAAAGAGAAAAGCUGGAGAGCUAGACUUUGGAGAAAUGGCAUUGUGCGGUCUUCCUUAAUGUCGCCUCGGGAGCAGCCUCAGUAUGUGGGUGUCGAAGAGGUAUAUUUGAAAUUACUCGCCUACCAUUGGGUUUAAAUUUUCAACAGAGCAUCUAAAGUGACCAAAGUUAUACUGAUUGCGAAUGUUGGUGGUAUCAAAGGAUCCUACGUGCAUCAUAUGCCAACAAUAUUUGUAUCUAUCUGCUGUUGCUUGCCGUUGUAGGCCGUCUACUUUUGUGUGUCUUGAGGUCAGAGGCUUAUUAAUAUUUGAAUAGUAAUAUUAAUCUGUAGAUAUCGUUAUGAUAAGUCAUACUUCUUAUUUUUUUCUCGUAAAACAUUUGGUCCUUUUUUCCAAUUUAUGAAAUACUAUUUCUUUCAGGGUGAUAUUACUUGUCUAAAACUAAUAAUAUAUAACUGUAUCUAUUAUGCAGCACUGGAAGCACCUUUGUGAAUGCAAAGCAAAUAAACAUCGCCUCCUUUACCGUCAUUCACUAGCAGAGUUAAAUAAUCUAAUUCUGAAUGUUGCUGGGAGGGGUGACUACACAGAGGCUACCCAAGAUAAAAAUUUACAAAAGCAGCAACUCUAUUCGCUUGAUAUUGGUACAUUGUCAAAAAAGGUAACAAUAAGUUCAAAUACACUCCCAUUUACUUGCAUUUUUAGCUUCAUCGUGCUCUUUGAUUCAUCAUAAUUGGCCAGCCUCUUUUACAAUAUACAGUAUAUAUAUAUAUAUAUAUAUAUAUAUAUAUAUAUAUAUAUAUAUAUAUAUAUAUAUAUUUUAUAUAUAGAUAUUAAAAAAGUUUAAGAAAGUCUUUUUGAAAGACUUGAAUGCGAGACGCUCAAUUAUCCCUUUUUUUGAGAACUUUUAUAAAAUCCUUUAUACUUGUUCCUGAAGUAUAAAACGUUCCAUCUGUUCCUGAAUAGCUUCUUUCAAAAGGGCUUCUGCUUCCUCGGUGAAUAUCUUGGUAGAAGAUAUUAUUUCUUGAAACUGCGGUUUAUUUGUUUUUAGGUAAGUACGUAACUCAACAAGAAAUUUCCUUACCUGUCCAAUUUCUAAUGAAUCAAGAUAACCAUUUGUUCCGGUAUAAAUAGUCAUUAUCUGUUCUUCUACCGCAAGAGGGGCGGAUUGGGAUUGUUUAAGCAAUUCACGUAAUCGUUGACCUCUUGCCAAUUGAUUCUGAGUAGCUUUAUCAAGUUAAUAUACAAUAUAUAUAUAUAUAUAUAUAUAUAUAUAUAUAUAUAUAUAUAUAUAUAUAUAUAUAUAUGUUACAUGUAGUUUAACUGUUAUUUUGUUUUAAAAGUUUCAUUGGCCUAUUUGAAGUUGCUAUAUAUAAACUGUGAACAUGUAAUUGGAGACUUGUACAUUUUUUAAUGUUUCUAGAGGACAAUGUAUAAUACCCAUAUUCGAAGAGAAUCUUAACUCCUGUCGUGCAAAUUGUUGUAAUCCAACUCGAGCUGCUUGCGAAUAAACCCAGCUCAGCUCAAUGAGUAGAGUUUGUGCUCAUCUAACUUUUACGAGCAGCUCAACUCACUUAAAAAUACCCGGACUCCAAUUCGGCUCAAAUUACAGCUUUUCAUAGGAACUAUUAUCUGGUUGUGACACAGAGAAUUAAUAUUCUUGAAUAAUAUAAGAUUAUUUUAAGCCCUUCCUCUGACACGUUAAAGUUGUAGAUGGACUGGGUACUUAACAUGGUAUUUGAGCUUAAUUUGGGCAGUGCCAUCAUAUUGCAGAGAAUUUUGGAGAACUUGUCAUAUCUGGACAUGCUAUUGACUUAGUGUAGAAGGAUCAGUUACUCUGAUUCAUGUGGGAAGGGAUUUAGUGGGGCAUCUAUGAGUCUAUGACAUCCUUUAUUUGAUAAUUGUAAGGAAGUCAUGUUUUUAGGCCAGCACUUAUUAUCUGCUCCGCUAUGCUUGUAAACUUGUCACUGAGAUAUAGGUUAAACUACUUAAUUUUGAAACAAGCAUGUGAAGAUUAUACCAAUUAGCCUUCGGGGAGUGCAGAGCUACUAAUGGCAUUAUAAUGGUUAAUGAUAGACGAAAUAAAGAGUUCAUGGUAGAGGUUAAAAUUUGUGUCGCCAGUAACAAAAUUCCAUAAUUUAUACCAGCAGGAUUUUGUAGAUCAUGCAAGUUGACUUUAUAAUGUUUGCAGGUAGGAAGUGUCCACGUCAACCUUGUGCAACUUGCUGAAGAGUGGCUUUCAAGAUCUUGUAAGCUUCUUCAGAUGCCAUACUCCAUUGUUGCUUUUGCAAAUGCACUAAAGGAAGCUGAACAGUUUCUUUGGGGUGGUUCUGAAAUGGACUCGGUUAGCUUUAUCUCUUUAUUUAAUUUUCAAGAUGUCCAUACAUUGUUAUCCUGUAGUGUUAUAUGUAUCCUUUUCUUCCUGGAACUAAAGGUGCGGGAAGCAACAAAGAACUUGAUUGAAGCUCAGAAUUGGGUAGAAGGUGUAAAAGAUUGUGUAGACAAAGUGGAAUUGCGGUUAUGCCAUGGCAACAAUGACAUGGACAGAGUACAUAUGAAACAUGUUCGUGGGUUGCUGAAUAUCGAUUCUGUGCCUUGCAAUGAGCCUGAAUUUCUCAAACUGAAGGUGUAGUAUAUUUUCACGUGGCAGCUGUUUGAUGAGUGUGCAUUCCUUUCUAUUAUAACUUUGGUCUCUUUUUUUUUUUUUUUUUUUUUUUUUUUUUUUUUUUUUUUUUUUUUUUUUUUUUUUUUUUUUUUUUUUUUUUUUUUUUUUUUUUUUUUUUUUUUUUUUUUUUUUUUUUUUUUUUUUUUUUUUUUUUUUUUUUUUUUUUUUGUAG
rnacentral:lncRNA from 1 species